AACCUCUUUUCCACUUCCCCCUCCAAUUCUACCCUCGUUGAUAAAAGGGAGAGUUGAAAUUUUAUCAUAUCAGCUCUAUAUGUAACCUUUAAAGUCAUCACACCAUCACGAGAUACUCCUGUUGCAGGAGAUCUUUUGUUACCCAAAUAUUUGAUGCCUUUUUCUUGGGAAAGAGCAGGACAUUGUUGAUCGCCCACAUAUGGUUCAGCACCUUGAAAAGAUACGCCAUGGCUAACAUGGACAUUAACCUUUCUAGUCUUAUGAUUUGGCCAUCUAGUGAUUUCAUAUACUCUACAUAUCCGUUUUAGUGUUGCUCGACUAACUGCAAUAAAAGAAGUCCACAAAAGGGAUUUCAGUGAACCUAUGCAUAAAUCAUUCCGGUUAAAGGCAUAUGAGCGUACAUCAUAUAUAAUAACACAAAAAGAAUUACGAAUCUCAAAUGCGCUAAAGUUAGUGAACUUACCACCUAGAUUUUUGGCAGCAUCUUUAAGAAGCGUGCCAUAUUGCUGCUCCAAAGUCUCGCGAGUAAUCCCAUGAUCUUUUUCUAUCCUUCGUAAUUCGUUGUUCUUCUGUGAAUGGAUUUUCUCGUUGUUAGUCAUUGCUCCACUGACAAAGUUGUUUUCUCUGUUUAUAGCUUCAGCUUCAACCGAUUGUCUUGCAUAACUAAAAUCCCUAUGCUCCACUGUGUCAUUACUCCUUGCGCCUACAGAAUUAAUUUCUAAAUUUGGUUGCUCAAAGUGUGAAUCAAGUUGCAUCAUUUCACUUGUAUCCUCAAUGUGGUCAUCAUGUGCUACAUCCACGUUAACCGUUCCUCUGUUUGUCACAGCUUCCUCUAUUGGAUGAGGCAGUGACGGAUCAACUUCCACUGUCCCUUCACAGUUGAGUGAGUCACACUUGUCUAAUGAACAAGAAGAAAUCACUAGUGCAAGAGCAUCAACAAGCUUCUUCAUAAAAUCUGACUCUUGAUAGAAAGAAUCAAUUGCUAUUGUUUCUCCUCCAUCCUGAAGUGAUUGAACACUCGGCAGAGUUUGGCCAAUUUCAAAGGAGUCAAGUUCAUCAUUCGGGGAAACUUUAACAACUUCAACGAGCAUCCUCUGCCCUAGUUCAUUUCCAGAAGCAACUAUGAAACCUGGAAGUAGUUCUUUCAUUGUGGUUAAAAGCAUGUUUAAGAAAGUCUUUGUAUCUCUAACAGCCAUUUCGUUGCUUGGCAGAAAGUACUCAACUACGCAUACAAAAUUGUUGGCGCAUUUACUUUGCAAACAAAUUGCAAAACUGUGAGUGAAUCUAGCUUUUCGUGCAGUAGGCAACACAGGGUACUCAUUGAUGCUUAAUAGAGUAACAUCUUUGCAAAAGCAUGAACCUUGGGAUGCAAAUGCCCUCCCAACCAAUGCCUCGCCACUCUUAAUAAAACAGACCUCAGAAGAAUAUUCAAACUCAUAAUACAUUGAUUGUGCACGUUCAUUGAUUGAGCCACCAACACGAUACAAGACUUUCAAAGAGGAAGGUAGAGAAAAAGGAAUCCAAAUUUGAGCAAAGGGUAAACUAUGUCUUUCAAGGAUCUCAUAUAACCCGGCCUUUAUAUCGCCAAGUCUUUCAUCAUCCAGCCGCUAUAAAAAUGAUAAGAUAAGCUAUGACAUUAGUGGGACUGAUCUCUUUUUUUUUUUUACUUUCAUUUAUUUUGUUUAGUUUCGCCAAAAUAAAAAAAGGCAGCAACACCUUACCUUUGAAGGUCCAAAAGGCAUGCCCAAUGAGUUAGGAAUGUACAAGCCAACUGAUUCGAAAUUCAACCACUAUGAUGGAAAAUUAAACAAGGAUUAUGGAAUUGUUCAAACAAAAGUGAAUAAGCAAUGUCGUUGAGCAAAUACCUUAAUAAGGGUGUGAAGAGGGAGAUAUGGUAGUGUAGAUACAAUCUCGAAUACACCAAGGCACUGGCCAUCAUGGAGGUUGGAAACUGGAAAUGCAUAAUAAGAAUGAAUUCCCAAGGGAAUUGCAGUUUGAAGCAGUGGAAACUCUGCAGAGGAGUAGCUUAGGACGUUGGGGUUAUAUUCUGGCAAGUAUCUUGAGAAAACUCGUCCAGGGGGACCAAAUGGAAUUUCCUUGUUGUCCAUGGGAAUCAUAGUAUCUAAACAGAGCUUCCUGUAUGAAGAGAGCCUCUUAUCAAGUUGGUUAUAGAAAGCAAAUGGUUGAUCCGCAGUGGACAGGAAAGUGGAUCCAUUGACCUUGAUGGGUGCCCAGAAUUGAAACAGAGAAAUAUUUGGAUUCCACAUGAUUUUCUCCAUAACAGAUUGGAUCCUCCAUUUCUCAGUUGGAAAGAUGGAGGAAACAACAGAAUAGGCUGGAGUUAUCAAAAAGAUUAGUAAGUGCUAAACAAAAAUUGGAAAAUAUUCACAAAAGACUCACUCACUCACAAAAGAUGGAGUUAAUGGAUCGCUGGUAUUCCAACUCGUCGUUGUGUUUUAUGCUCCAAAAUACCCAGCCAUUUAACUUCAGUUGACACCAGUCCAGUUUACAAGGCAUUAGGUCACAUACCUCUGAAGGUUGAUGCUCCAUACUAUACAAUUGAAUUUCACUGCCUCUGCCCCGUCGCUGAUCUGCAGGCAAAGUUGUGGAUCAACUGUCCAAAAGUCGUCGAGUUACUACUAUUUAUAUUCAAUAUAUAAAAUCAUCAAUAAUUCUCCAUUUAUAUCACACUAAUUAAAUAGUACUUAUUGAAAUACCAUUUAUAAGGAAACUUCUGCCACGGGUGCAAAUGGAUCAAGAAGCUCAAGAGGUUCAACAACCUCCACCUUGUACCCAAUGUAGAAAUUGUCAAAAGGCAAAGUAUCCUAGUACUAUUUGAUUUCUUAUUGAAUUUACAGAAAAGAGGCCAAAAAAAAAAAUGUUUUGAAAUGUCCAACAAUACUUGCCACUGAUUACUCCAUUUGUCCAAUAAUAGUUAUUCACUAUACUAUUUUGGAAUGUCCAACAAUACUUGUCUACUUUAUAAAAUCAAUAGGUAAUUUUAUACUUAGUUCCUAUUUUACCCUUAUUAUUAAUUAUAAUCAAUUCUCUAUAAUAUUUUUCAAGACAUUGUAUUUAUUAUAUUCAAAAGGUGAUUAGUAAAAUUACACUUCUAUUUAUAGUUUCUUAAAAAGUGUGUAAAGUCAACACUCCCUUCAUUUCAAAUUAAUUGAAUUGUUGAGACAUUUUUCAAUUUUCAAACUAGUUUAAUUGUUCAAUCUUCAAUACUACUUUUAGAAUAUUUUCCAAUUUUACCCUUCAUUAGUUAGUAUUGAAAUUAGUAUUAUAAUUAAUGUUUAGUUAUUUUAAUCAUAAAUUUGACAAUAAUUAAUAAGGGUAAAAAUGAGAAAUUAUGUCUAAUUUAUCUCUUACCCUUCUUUUCUUAAAGGAUGUGAAACACGUCAAUAUUUCAAUUAAUUUGAAAUGAAGGAAAUAGUAGACAAAUAUUAUUAAACAUAGGAAUAAAUAAUAUUUGAAUUAUCAUUACAUUUCGAUUGGGACCAUGAAUCAAGAAAAGGAGGGAGCCAAAGAAAUUAGAGAAAUCUUGAAAGGUUCAAAAGGUUAUGGUGUAAUGACAUUAAGGUUCAAAAUGUUAUAAUUUUGUUAUUCAUCGGAACUUAUACAAAGUUACUAGCUUUUAAAGACGUUUCAUUGCAAUGUGAAUUCCUUAUUAAUAUUAAAAGAAGUUAAAAUUCAUAUAUAUAAUAUUAAAAUCAUAUUGAGUUAAAUAAAAGUAAACCACAAAAAGUUCCUAAAAUGUGAAAAUUUAUAAUACUUAUUAAUAGCUAACUCAACAAAGGAAAAAGUUAUAACGAAAUUGUAUGUCAUGGCAAUAAAUUACAUUUUACUUCUAACAAAACAAAAUUAGACCCUCUCAUUUAUAAGUUCUGUCAACUAUUUGAAUUACGACCCACAUUUAAUGUAUUUUAAUUUAAAUAUUUUUAGAAUGGAUCAAUAAUUCAUUUGCUUAUAUUAAUUUAUUUUAAUUUGAUCAAAUUUCGAAUUAACAUGAUUUAUUUUUAAAUUUAGAUAACUCGUUUAUUGGACACCUCUAAAAAAAUCAAAAGUUUAAUGUGUAGACAAGUGCAAGUGGAUUAAAAAGGUCAAGAGGUUCAAAUAGAUUCCGCGUUUUUUUUGUGGAAAUACAUAACAUGUGUAGUAGAUUUUUCCAUGCUAUAGUCACUGUGGAAAUUGCCAAAGGGAAAAAGAGAGUCAAAGAAAUUUCCAUGUGUUGGACUAUUGGUUCUUUAUUGAAUUUAGUCUCAAAUUUCACACAUACUUUUGAUUGGGACCUACAAAUCGGGAUAAUAGGAAAGUCUCGAAAGGUUCAAAAAGUUGUGGUGUAUUACAUUAGGUUCAAAAAGUUGUGAUUUUAUUAUUUGAUGAAGCUUUUAAGUUUGUGGACUGCUGGUGAAUCCUUAAUCAAUAUCAAAAGAAAAUUAAAAUUUGUAUAAAUAAUAUUUAAAAAUCAAAUCCUAGUUGAACAAAAAUUACCAAAAAAGUUCCUAUAAUGUGAUAAAUAUAAAUAAUCUAUCUAUUUAUAUCUAUAUUAUUUUAUACAAUAUUAUAAACAUGAAGGUCCUUACAAAUGUUAAUUGAACUGUUUGUCUUUUAUUAAAGGGAAAAUGCUCAAAUAUGUCAUCAAACUUUCAGAAAAAGACUUAUUUAUGCAUCAGUUAAAAGUUUGGCUAAUCUAUGUCAUUGUUGUUAAAGAAAAGGCUCAUCCAGACCAUUUUUUUUUAACUCCGGUUUUACAAAACCACCUUUUUACACCCCAAUGGUUUAACACUUUCCAAUUAAGAUCAAAUGUACUCUUUUUGCUUGUUCUUCCUUAAGAACACCAUGAAUCUUCUUAAAGGUGAGCAUUUCGAUUUCCUACGUUCAAUUCCUAGUCCUUAAAGAAGGUAUUUGUGCCCUUAGGGGAUGGUUUGAAUUCAUCUUUUUCACGAUCCAAAAGUCAAGUGUGAUGACACCUGCCUUAUCCCACCAAUACGGGCCAACUUAAACAACCCUUGGCAAGGGCAAUAACAGAAGUAAGAAAGAAAUCAAGAACCAAACGUAACAUAAUAAUGCAAAACCCUUAAUAUAACACAACUUUCCCCCAAAACCUAGUGUCACGUGUACAAGCCUCUAAAUAAUACAACAUAUUCAAAAGAAGUACAAGUCUACAAUAAUGGGAUAGUAGAAAAACAUAAUCAAGAGUAUGUGAUGAGUGUUGAGAUGAUCACGAACUCCAAAGGCAAGUCUCGAAUGAAGAUGCGAAAGGAUGAUCAAGAUGAUCCAAUCGUAACCUACACAAGUGUGGAAAGCAAGGGAGUAAGUACCAAACAAUAACGGUACUCAACAAGCAUUCCUAGGUAACCCUAAGUAAAGUGAUAUCGAACACAAGCACCCCGUCACACCUUCUGAACCUCCUUAAACUACAAUCUCCAUAGAAUUUAGAAGCAGCUCAUCCUAACAGUUUCACAAGUAAUAGAGCAACACGUUACAUGUAAUACACCGUUAUUCACAUAUCAGAGUCUCCAUAAUAUCACCACAACCUGUCAGAUCUAGAUAGCCACGAAAACAUAACAACUCACUCAUAAAAGACAAGAAUGACAAUGAGGUGUGAAAACAGUGCAAUGCAAUGUCAUAUAGAAUGAAGCAUGUCUGUUCUGUUGAUUCACACUCACUGACUAGUAUCCCGGGACACAUAGAGGACCUAUAUGUCCAUGCAUUCACUACACAACUUACAAUGCAAUGCAAUGUCAUAUAGAAUGAAGCAUGUCUGUUCUGUUGAUUCACACUCACUGACUAGUAUCCCGGGACACAUAGAGGACCUAUAUGUCCAUGCAUUCACUACACAACUGCUAACUAGAAGCUGAGGACCCAUAAGGGACAUAUUAGUCCAUGCAUCCAUUGAAUUCAUUUUUCAUCGGUAUAAAUAUCAUAAAUCGUCGAAACCAUUUUCCAUCGGCAUAAACAUCAAUCGCCGGAAUCAUUUUCCAUAAGCAUAAACAUCAAUCGCCGGAAUCAUUUUCCAUCAACAUAUCACGAAUUCAAAUCUCACAAUAGUGUUUCAGAUUCAAUGCAAAUAAGCAUGCUCACAUGUAUAAUGAGAAGAUAAUAAAUUCCACAUCAAUAACCAAUCCACAUACACAAUUAUGGCACAUCAUCAAAAGUGAGUCAAGAUAAUCAUUCAAGUUACUCGUGACACAUCACACAAUAUUAUAUCUACCAAUUCAUUUUUCCACACAUGAUCAUUACAAAUAUUCAGGCAACGUUUAAUAACAAGUAUAAUAUAAGAAGACGUUCACCAUUCCUUAUUACUCCCAAUUAUACAACAAGACAUACAAGGUUCAAUAUACUUAACAAAAGGUUAAAAAGGUCCACUUACCUUAAAAAGGAAAGAAAUCAACUCGGUACUAUUCAUGUCAAUUUAUUUUAAUUUUCAAACGCCUAUUUAUUCAUAUCAAUUUAUUUUAACGUGUUCAAAUUCAAAUUAACGUGAUCUAUUUUAAAAUUUAGAUCACCCGUUUAUUUUCCACCUCUAAAUAUAGUCAAAAUUUAAGUUUGUGGACAAGUGUAAAUGGAUCAAAAAGCUCAAAAGGUUCAAACAGACUUACCUUCUUUUUUUGUGUGUGGAAAUUGUACAUUUUUCCAUGCUAUAGUCCCUGUGGAAAUUGUCAAAGGUAAAAAGGAAGGCAAUAAAUUGUGGAGUUAGUACCAUUUGUUCUUAUUGAAUUUAUAUAAUAUCAUCCAUAAUACUACAAGGUAGCAUUUCGUAAUAGUUUUACAUUAACACUGUCUAUUUAUACGUAGUGGCAUUGAAGCCGGGGGGACACAAAAUCUGGCUACCAUUAAUAGGUGGUUCCAUAUUACAAAAAGUGGAAGUAAAAUACUAUUAAUAUUAAUUUUUAAGGAGCUUGACAUAGAACACCUUGAGGCCAAACACCAUGUCAAGAACAGGAAGUUGUGAGUCCUGAUGUGAUUUCACGAUAUCAACCACCUCCGGUGUUACUAUCAUUGUAAGCUGACUCUCACACAGAGAUGAUAGUUGUAGCAUCUGAAAUCUCGGAAGCCGUGGAGUCCGAUUUCAUCUCCUCCUGCAGUGGUGAUAGUAUACUGCAAAUGGAAGAGACAAUACUAUAUAAUGACUUCCUUACAUCACCUUCACUGAUUCAAAGAGGGUAUUGAACUGAACAUCGAGCAUGGUAACAAGGCAGAUAUGUUGAGAUAAAUAUUAUUAUUAUUAUCCAAUUGUAAUUAGACUAGCUGGCAGAUUAGUUAUGUGAUUAGUUAGUUAGUCUUUCUGUUAGUUAGUUAGGCCUUGGGUAUUGUGCAUCAAGUAGUUAGUUAGCUAAGCUUCUAGAUCUUUCUCACAUUGUUGUAUAUAUAGCGUGUAAUCAACAUAAAGUAAUUCAGUUUUUCAUUUUCCCAAUUCACACAGUUUGCUCCUUUUUCUCUCAUCUCGAAUCUCAGCUUUCCAUGUUCAUCAAUGAAGGAAUGAUCUUCUCCAGCUUUGUUUGUUUCAAUAUGGUAUCAGAGCAUUGUGAAUUAGUGUCCAAAGUGUUGAGUUCUUCCCACAGUUUCCUGAUCUUGGUGUAAUAUCCAGUGAUAUCUAAAUUGCCCUGACUGAGAUCAUUGAUUUCUCGUUGAAGCUGAUACAGUUUUGCCCCAUUGGUUUGAUCAUACCUAUCUUCCAAUUCAUCCCAAAGUUCCCUGGCAUUAUCAACGUACUGCAGGAUAUCUCUGAGGUCUUUGGACAGAGAAUUUAAGAUCCAAGAAGUCACCAUAUCAUCACAUCUUUCCCAUUGAGCAAAAUUGGGUGAAUCUACACUUGGUUUCUGUAUUUUGCCAUUUAUGAAACCAGUUUUGUUCUUCACAGAUAAUCCUCGAAGAACAGCUCUCCUUCAUAUCCAGAUCUAUCAAAAAGGACUGGAACAAUUGAGGAUCCUGCACUUUCAGAAGGAUGAACGUAAAAUGUACUGGUUAGAUCUUGAAGAGCAUAAGCUGGUAACUGAUUUCCAGUAGAAGUCCAUUCCUGAGUACCAGUCGACUCCAUGAUAUGUCUGAGAUGAAACGAAAAGAAAAUACAGAUGAAUUUGAAAAGAGAGAAAAGAAACGAUCGCGGAAGAUGAAGAAAGCCUUAUGGCUCUGAUACCAAGAGUCAACAUUAAGUUUCAGGCAUUUACAUGACAAAUUACCAAUAUCAGAAAUUGAAGAAUAACAAGCUAGGAUACCUACAAAGUUAACAGCUCCACCAUUGGGAUUCUCAUGUGCAGGGUUACUGGUGUUGUUUCCUGCUUGGAUUUGCUUAUGCUCCAACAAGUUUACCAGUUGAAUGAAUUGCCGAUUAGUUAGAAUUUGGCCUGACUGUUCAUGCAUUUUCCCUUUUCCUUUGCCUGUCUCAGGUGUCUUCUCACAAAUAUCUCCCAUUAGUUCCUUUGAGAAACCAUUAGCAAUGGCUGCUGUGCCUGCAUUCUUGCCCUUUGUGAACUUGAAAUCCGGAGGGAAACCAUGGAGCUUGUAACACUUGUCUUUGAUGUGACCAGUCUUUUUACAAUAGUCACAGAACAAAUUAGACUUGUUUGGAGGCCUGCUGGUGCUCACAGUGUUCCUAUAGAGAGUAUAGUUAGUCCUAAAACUAGAACUAGUAGCUCCAUUUACAUGAAAAGAAGCUGAGUCCAGGUUGAAUUUGCUGUGAGGUUUGACUUCCCUCUAUUUUCUUCCUGGACAAGAAUAGAAAAAGUUUGAGCCAUAGUAGGUAAAUGAUUCAUCAUCAAAAUGCUACCCCUCACAAUGGUAUACACUUCAUUUAGACCUAUUAGGAACUGAAUGAGUCUCUUGUCGAGUUCAGCCUUGUGCAUUUUUUAUUUUCCACCACAUAUACAUAGGCAGCAUUAGACACUGACCACUCAUUGGCUCCGGCUUCACCACCAACACAUAACCAAAUUCCAAACAAUUGUUCCCCAUCAGACACCAUCACUCAACCUCCAGUCCAACCUGUAAACCUCAGGAGAUCCAUUAGACCACACAACAUUCCUACUUACCUGAAAGAAUACACUUACACAUUACCUUCCUUACAACAUCAAUCACCAACCCCAUCUUCUAAUCUUGUCUUUCCUUCAUCCCAUUUGUCCCUCACAAGUUUCAAUCAAGAUAAUAAACAUAUAGUUAAAGGUUUUCUUCAUGACACUGAACCAUGUUCAUAUGAGGAGGCAUCACUUGAUCCUGCUUGGUAAGCAGCAAUGACAUCAGAAUUUGAAGCAUUGUAUGCUAAUAAUACUUGGGAUCUUGUUAAACUACCCAUAAGGAAGAAGGCAAUUGGAUGCAGGUGAGUUUACAAGAUCAAACAUAAGGCUGAUGGUACAGUAGAAAGGCUGAAAACUAGACUUGUUAUGAAAGGUUAUACUCAACAGGCUGGCAUUGACUAUAAUGAAACUUUCUCUCCGAUAGUUAAGAUGACUACAAUCAGAAUUUUAAUCAACAUGGCUGUUAAAAAGAGGUGGAAUUUAUACCAGCUAGAUGUGAACAAUGCUUUCCUUCAUGGAGACUUGUGUGAAGAAGUAUACAUGGACACACCUCCAGGCCUCAUGAUAGAUGACACAGGGUUGGUUUGCAAACUUAAGAAAUCCUUGUAUGGACUGAAAAAAGCAAGCAGACAAUGGUAUGACAAGCUGGCCCAAGUCUUGUGUUCAAGGGGCUAUUCUCAUUCAGAGAGUGAUUACUCUCUAUUCUACAGAAAGAUUGGGAGUUCUUUGGUUUUUGUUGCUGUUUAUGUUGAUGAUAUUGUCUUGACAUGUACUGAUGUUGAAGAAAUCACUUCUCUGAAAGGUUACCUUCAUGAUAAAUUCAAGAUAAAAAACUUAGGAAGACUUCAAUACUUUCUUGGUUUGGAAAUAUCAUAUAAGGAUUGUGGAGUCUUAAUUUCUCAAAGAAAGUUCACCUCAGAUUUGCUGAAAGAAUUUGAAUGUUCAAGCUACACACCAGUGACAUCACCUCUUGAAUCUACAGUCAAGCUCAAAGCAAGUGAAGGCCUAUUGUUGAAGGAUCCUACACACUACAGAAAGUUGGUAGGCAAACUGAAUUUUUUGACUAACACAAGAAUGGACAUAGCAUUCAGUGUCCAACAUCUUAGUCAAUUCCUUCAGAAUCCCAGAGAACCACACCUCAAGGCUGCAUACCAUAUUCUAAGAUACCUCAAAAAUGAUCCUUGCUUGGGAAUAUAUUUGUCCAACAACACAGACUGCUCAAUAACUGCAUAUUGUGAUUCAGAUUGGGCUUCAUGCCCUGAUACAAGAGAGUCAGUAAAUGGUUAUGUAGUGUUGAUGGGAGAUAGUCCUAUUAGCUGGAAGUCCAAGAAGCAAACAACCAUAUCUCUGUCCUCAACAGAGGCAGAAUACAGAGCAAUUAGAAAGGUGGUAGGAGAAAUAGUAUGGCUGGAAAGGUUGUUGACAGAGCUGAACAUGACAUGUACCUUGCCUAUAGCUGUGUUUUGUGAUAGUCAGGCAGCCAUUCACAUAGCCAGGAACCCUGUGUUCCAUGAGAGAACAAAGCACAUAGAAGUGGAUUGCCACUUUGUUAGAGAUAAACUGCAAGGAGGUCUCAUUGCACUUCAUCACAUUCCAACUGAAGAUCAGCUAGCAGAUGUCCUGACUAAGGCCUUGCCAAAUAUCAAGCAUUCCCAUAUUUUGCACAAGUUGUUUGUGAGCUUCCCACCUCCAACUUGAGGGGGGGUGUUGAGAUAAAUAUUAUUAUUAUUAUCCAAUUGUAAUUAGACUAGCUGGCAGAUUAGUUAUGUGAUUAGUUAGUUAGUCUUUCUGUUAGUUAGUUAGUUAGGCCUUGGGUAUUGUGCAUCAAGUAGUUAGUUAGCUAAGCUUCUAGAUCUUUCUUACAUUGUUGUAUAUAUAGCGUGUAAUCAACAUGAAGUAAUUCAAUUUUUCAUUUUCCCAAUUCACACAGGUUGCUCCUCUUUCUCUCAUCUCGAAUCUCAGCUUUCCAUGUUCAUCAAUGGAGGAAUGAUCUUCUCCAGCUUUGUUUGUUUCAAUGAGAUAGGCAUGGAGUAGGACAAUAAUGUAACAAAUUAAGCUUUGUAUUGAUCAUCAAAGCAACUUACAAACAGGUUGUUCAUGUAAUCAAACAACAAACAGAAAAUACAAAAUAGCUAAUGAAAAGAAAAUGACAACUCAUAUUAUUUUCCUCUUCUAUAUAUAGGCAUCUUUCGUAAUUUGACUAAUGCCCAUUUAAUCACUGAGCACAAAGACAUGUAACAACACAACAGGGAAGAGAUAAACACCAUGUCACCAAAAGAUGACAUUUCUGCACUAAAGAUACCAUAACAAAACUUACGAAAAAUCUUUCAUGUGUCAGCUCCUGGGGUAACCAGUAAUCUCAUAGUAGUCCUUCCCAACAAUCUUAGUGAAUGCAUCCCAUCCCUCAAAUCUGAAUCAGUACUUAUCAAAAUCCAAUCAUCAUCUUCAUCUUGAUACUUGAUUGAAAAACUUUGAAGUGAUAUCUUAAACCUCUUUUCCACUUCCCCCUCCAAUUUUACCCUCGUUGAUGGAAGGGAGAGUUGAAACUUAAUGAUAUCACCUCUUUAUGUAACCUUUAAAGUCAUCACACUAUCACAAGGUUUUCCUGUUGCAGGAGAUUUUUUGUUACUUAAAUAUUCGGUGCCUUUUUCUUGGGAAAGAGCAGGACAUUAUUGAUCGCCCACAUAUGGUUCAGCAUCUUGAAAAGAUACGCCUUGGCUAACAUGGACAUUAACCUUUCUAGUCUUGUGAUU
rnacentral:lncRNA from 1 species